GUGCUGGCUUCCGCAGCACAUGAAAACUGGAACAAUAACAGAGGACAUGAGCAUGGCCCUGUGCAAGGAUCACCUGCAAAUUCACAACGUGUUCCAUAUUUUU